rnacentral:snRNA from 1 species
ACCCCGGUUGCUGCGACUCGUUUAGUCCCACAUCGCUUGGCGAAGGGGAGGCGGGGCGCUGCGAGGCUAUAAAGAGCAGGGGUGGCCAGCGGGUUGAAGCAUACCUUUCUCGGCCUUUUGGCUAAGAUCAAGUGUAGUAUCUGUUCUUAUCAGUUUAAUAUCUGAUAUGUGGGUCAUGUGCUCACAACGAUAUUAAAUUUAUUUUUUGUGGGGGAGGGCCCACCACAGUGGCUUGCCAUUGGGGCCCUCAGGUGUCGCUCAGUGCGUUGCACUACUGCCUGGGCAGGCGCACCCCAA